GUACUUACUUCGGCAGUACAUAUACUAAAAUUGGAACGAUACAGAGAAGAUUAGCAUGACUCUUGCGCAAGUAUGACAUGCAAGGAUGUCUAUGACGAACAGUU
rnacentral:snRNA from 1 species